UUCGGUAAGUCAGCGGUGAAACCUGAACGCUCAACGUUCAGCCUGCCGUUGAAACUGCCGGGCUUGAGUUCAGUGGCGGCAGGCGGAAUUCGUGGUGUAGCGGUGAAUGCAUAGAUAUCACGAGGAACUCCGAUUGCGAAGGCAGCUUGCCAUACUGCGACUGACACUGAAGCACGAAGGCGUGGGUAUCAAGCAGGAUUAGAUACCCUGGUAGUCCACGCAGUAAACGAUGAUUACUAGGAGUUUGCGAUAUACCGUCAAGCUUCCACAGCGAAAGCGUUAAGUAAUCCACCUGGGGAGUACGCCGGCAACGGUGAAACUCAAAGGAAUUGACGGGGGCCCGCACAAGCGGAGGAACAUGUGGUUUAAUUCGAUGAUACGCGAGGAACCUUACCCGGGAUUGAAAUGUAGAUGACGGAUGGUGAAAACCGUCUUCCCUUCGGGGCUUCUAUGUAGGUGCUGCAUGGUUGUCGUCGGCUCGUGCCGUGAGGUGUCGGCUUAAGUGCCAUAACGAGCGCAACCCACAUCGGUAGUUGCUAACAGUUUUCGCUGAGGACUCUACCGAGACUGCCGUCGUAAGGCGUGAGGAAGGUGUGGAUGACGUCAAAUCAGCACGGCCCUUACAUCCGGGGCGACACACGUGUUACAAUGGGAGGGACAAAGGGCAGCUACCGGGCGACCGGAUGCGAAUCUCUAAACCCUUCCCCAGUUCGGAUCGGAGUCUGCAACUCGACUCCGUGAAGCUGAUUCGCUAGUAAUCGCGCAUCAGCCAUGGCGCGGUGAAUACGUUCCCGGGCCUUGUACACACCGCCCGUCAAGCCAUGGGAGUCGGGGGUACCUGAAGGGCGUAACCGCAAGGGGCGCACUAGGGUAAUACCGGUGACUGGGGCUAAGUCGUAACAAGGUAACC
rnacentral:rRNA from 1 species